CAGAAUGAAGUUUCUAUAUGCCCUACAAUACUCACAUAAUUUGUGAUUCUAAUAGGCUUCCUGCACCGACAUUUGAUGCCUUUCUAUUGUAAAUCUUCACCAAGUUGCCAUUUGUUUUUGUGGAAAUACAAACCAGAUGUAUGACCUUGAGUGAAGGAAUGCUAUUCCAUGAGUGAAGGAGCUCGAGGUGAACAGGCGGUGUGGGAAGGCGAGAGGAACCAGGAGCUCAUCCCUCCUCCCAUGGCUGCCUCGUGGAUCUGGAGUAUAAGGAGGACAACAUGUGCCUGUUGCAGGCGGCUCGAGCGAUGCAAGCCGGCGACGAACUAGGUGCUCCACUCUUUCUCCCCCUCUCUUAAUUUCUUCCUCACACGUAUUUUACUUUGCUAUUAUAUGGAUUUUUAAACUUGACGUGUGCAGAUCUGACAUAGAAGAGAGGAAGAAUAAUUUUAGCUAAGAGUGGAAUUUAGAGUUCAAAGAAUCAGUUGAUGCUAUUGACCAAAGAGCGAUUUUUGUUACAGUUCCUCUGAAUGAAUUAGUAAACCAGAAGGACCAAAACAUCAUCGCUCAGCCAUUGUUGUUAGAUUGAUGUUGCCUUGAUUACCACUUUGUUUGGUGGCUACACUAUAAAUUCUUGAGAUAUAGUGCAAUGGUUGAUAGUUUGUUGCAUAGUCAUAUUGAUUCUGCUGAACUAAUACUCUCUUUGUAUAUCUAGGAUUCCUACUAGAACAUGUCAUUCCAAAUUGUGACAAUGAUCUUUCUACUCAUGAGUAGUCCUUUUUUAUACUGAAUUUUGAUGCAUACUCUAUGCAGAAAAGAAGGCCUCCUCGGACGUUAAGAAGGUACAACUAGGUAGCAAUGGAAGUGCUCCAUUCAAAACCAAGUAAUAUCUCCGAAUUUUUACACUAGAAUGUAUGCAUGGUAAAUACCAUGACCUUGCAAAUUUACACAUGUCCCCUUCUUCUCCUUUUCUUAGGAACUUGGCAGAAGCUCUACAUAUGCAAAUGGAGGUUCAGACACAGCUCCAUGAACAGCUAUAGGUGCCUUCUCUGUUCCUAUUUUUGAGCUCUAAUAGGAUGGUGUUGUUGUCGCCUUGUCGGCAUAUAUUUCUGAUAGUAGGAGCAUUCUUUUUCUUGCUUCACAAUAAUUAUUGCGCUUUGUGUAUAUAUGAACCCAAAUCCCUAUUUAAAUGGGUGCUAAAUGUUUUUGCGGCAUGGUUGACUUUGGAGACUAGCGCUUUUAUAGUAUUGUUACGGACUCUGUUUUUUACUAAUAAUCGUAUUGAUUCUGCCGAACUAAUCCUCUCUUUGUAUAUCUAUAGGAUUCCUACUAGAACAUGUCAUUCCAAAUGGCGGCAAUGAUCUUUCUACUCAUGAGCAGUCCUUUUUUAUACUGAAUUUUGAUGCAUACUGUAUGCAGACAAGAAGGGCCCCUCGGACAUUAAGAAGGUAAGACUAGGUAGCAGUGGAAGUGCUCCGUUCAAAAACAAGUAAUAUCUCUGAAUUAUUACACUAGAAUGUAUGCAUGGUAAAUACGAUGUCCUUACAAAUUUACAUCUGCCGCCUUCUCCUUUUCUUAGGAACUUGGCAGAAGCUCUGCAUAUGCAAAUGGAGGUUCAGACACAGCUCCAUGAACAGGUAUAGGUGCCUUCUCUG
rnacentral:lncRNA from 1 species